rnacentral:rRNA from 1 species
UACGAAGGGUGCAAGCGUUACUCGGAAUUACUGGGCGUAAAGGGUGCGUAGGUGGUUUUUUAAGUCCGUUGUGAAAUCCCUGGGCUCAACCUGGGAAUGGCAGUGGAUACUGGAAAGCUAGAGUGCGGUAGAGGGUAGUGGAAUUCCCGGUGUAGCAGUGAAAUGCGUAGAGAUCGGGAGGAACACCAAUGGCGAAGGCAGCUCGCUGGGACGGUACUGACGCUGAGACGCGAAAGCGUGGGGAGCAAACAGG